AUACGGAGGGGGCUAGCGUUGUUCGGAAUUACUGGGCGUAAAGCGCGCGUAGGCGGUCCGCGUAGUCAGGCGUGAAAGCCCCGGGCUCAACCUGGGAACUGCGUUUGAUACUGGCGGACUAGAGUUCGGGAGAGGGUAGUGGAAUUCCCAGUGUAGAGGUGAAAUUCGUAGAUAUUGGGAAGAACACCGGUGGCGAAGGCGGCCAUCUGGACCGGUACUGACGCUAAGGCGCGAAAGCGUGGGGAGCAAACAGGAUUAGAAACCCGAGUAGUCC
rnacentral:rRNA from 1 species